UAGGCUGACCUAGUCUAAUCGGAUUAGGGUUAGGUCAAGAAUCUGAGUCCACUGCUGGCUAGAUUUGGAACCCAAUGGAUCACAUACUUUGGAAUUUGAUCUUAAUCUAAUUUAAUUUGGGUUUAAUAUAAAUUCUAAGAGUUAAUUUGAUAUGUUAGUACAUUGUAUUAAUCCAAAUUCUCAAUUAGAUUAGUUCAAAUGAAUUUGAGCUAGUCUUAACCUAUUGCCUUUGAUCUAAUUAGAUUAGUCCAACUUAUUUGAUUUAUUUUCUUAUCUUGGAAGUGAUUUAGAUGGGAAAGGAGUCCUCCAUACCACCAGAUCCAUACCAUUUAUUUAUUUCCACCCCAUAUUUAUUGGCACCUAAG
rnacentral:lncRNA from 1 species